rnacentral:tRNA from 1 species
GGCGACGUAGCCAAGUGGCUAAGGCAGUUGUCUGCAAAACAACUAUUCAGCGGUUCAAUUCCGCUCGUCGCCUCCA